UAAUAAGGCUUGAAUAAGACAAGAACAGAUUUGGAAGAAACUUACCAGAGAGUCUGAAGUUGCUUUCACAUCCACUGUGACAUUCUUCUGCUUCAGCUUGGCCUGGACCUCACUGAAGAUAGCCUCGUUUUUCUUAGUGCUUGCAGCUGUUAUUGCCUACAGACAGAAAUUCCAGAAAGUACAAGCACAACCACAGAAGUUGAAGAAUUUAUAGUGUUUGAUGACAAGACAAAUGGUUUGAUCAACAAAGAAGAAAGAACAUAAUGAAGGGAAAAACACUAAGCUACGAAUUCUACCAUCCAUCAGUGAAGAAAAAGGAGAUGAAGCCCAAGUUCAAGGCCGGUAGAUGGAGUCAUCAACCAAAUCCAACUGUAUUUACACACCCAUUAUGCUGCACGUC